GCUGGCCGGGAGAGCUAGGUGCGGAGGCGCGGGGGGUGGGGGGUGCGCGGAGGCCGUGGAUGCUAUGACGACCGGGAACCCGGAAGCCACCCGCCUGGCGCUGGACAGGCGCUGGGUCCACUUGAAUGUGUGCUCGUUCUCGCGCGCGCGCCUUUUUUGUGUGUGCUUUUCAAGGUGUGUGCUUGUCACACCCAUCCGUAUUCGUGUCACUAAAGUGAAGUCCGAAUUGGUGUAAUCGCGCGCUUCGCGCCAAUAGAGUGGAAAACGUGACCAAGCCCUUCGCGGAGCCCGCACGUGGCUCCCGGGACUGGAUUGUUACACGGGGCGGGGCGCGCUGUCGGCCCCAGUCACGGACUCGGUCUCCCUCCUCCCGGGGCAGAAGGUGAGCGCACCUGCCCUCGGGACACCUGUUCUUGAGGAUGAACUGGAGCGCUUUUCAACUCCGCAGAGCUGGACGCUGCCACCGGAAAGGCUCAGCUGGUGCGCUCUGGGGCCCGAGCAUUCCUGUUUUUCAGAGCUUCCCGGGUGAUUCCUGUCGCCAGCCACCGUAAGGAGAACGUGGGUGCAAAUGGCAGAGAUCUCAGGAGCAAGAGUGGCCACUGGCAUGGACAAGAGGCAAAAGGCUCCAUUAUGGCUCAGCAUGGCACUGCUCCCAGCCCACAGACUGAAGCAGACACCUAAUCAUAAUUGCUACCUAACCACGACCUUCUUAUCUCAUUGAGGACUCUGAGAGG